UUGAAGCUGGGUUGGAAGCUGUUCUACCCUGAGCGGGAGUUCGACCGACCUUUGGGUCAUCCUUGGUUGGCUUUGGGAAGCCUUUAGAGACUUAAUUGGAGCAGCAUUGGGGCUUCGUUGAGCCGUUUGUGGGACUUCUUG